rnacentral:rRNA from 1 species
UACGUAGGCAGCAAGCGUUGUUCGGAGUUACUGGGCGUAAAGGGUGCGUAGGCGGUUGUUUAAGUUUGGUGUGAAAUCUCCCGGCUCAACUGGGAGGGUGCGCCGAAUACUGAAUGACUAGAGUGCGGGAGAGGAGAGUGGAAUUCCGUGGUGUAGCGGUGAAAUGCGUAGAUAUCAGGAGGAACACCGGUGGUGUAGACGGCUUUCUGGACCGUAACUGACGCUGAGACACGAAAGGCGUGGGUAGCAAACAGG